GGAGACUACAUGCAACAAGUGGUGACCCCGACGUGAUCUGUCUGCUGAGGGUGGCUGCCCGGCGUGCCCGUGACGCGGAGAAGAGCCUGUGAGGUGGCGGCAGGUCGCAUACGUAACAAUGGACCAAGUCAUUAAGACCGAAGCCAACUCCAGAACAACUGAGGGACAGACGAUGGGAUCAAGAACCACUCGUCAAGAGGAGCACUACACCUGCAACGCUGACACUUCCGAUGUUGCUGAUAUUUAUGGUGUCCAUGGCAAUUACAGAGUGUCACAAACAACUACAAUGGACACAAGAACAUAUGCAGAAAAUUAAAGAAGAGCGUGAUCCCUUUGGAAGCUGGCUGGACGGACUGUUUGGGGGAACGGGUUCAUGGUUAAAGCAAUUGCUUAAAGCUCUCGCAGUAGGAUUUGCAAUCUUUGUGUGUAUUCUAAUCUGUCUUCCAUGCUUUGUAGGAUGCUUGCAGAACUGCCUUCAACGAAUGAUGGACAAGACUUUUGACUAUCACAUUGAGUAUCAUAGAUUGCGUGAAAAAUUAUAGAGGGGUUUAGGUUGUUGCGUUCGUGCUGUAACGGGGCAAGGCUUGGCCGAGCACGGAAAAGAAUUCCCUGUUGCUCUGAUGAUUGCUUAAGAACUGUAGUAGAAAAUAGUAGGAAUAGUGUGCUGAAAUAUAUUUAGGAUUAGGCGUUUUGCGCUGCUUCGCGAUGUACGGGUUAGGUGUGUGUGUAAGUAGUAUUUAGCUUAGGGAGGGGGAGAUGUUGUAGUAGGCGUCUUGCGGGGGCACGGGAUGUACGGGACAGGCCUCUCCCUAAACAUAGAGAGAUAGUGCUAUCGUGCUGACCUUGUUGCAGAGAAAACAGGAGAAGAAGAAGGAUGAUAAAAGAAUGCGGAAACGGCCAAAUAAGGCACAAUGUUAUCUGGUGUGAACUAAUCAGAGUGGGACAUGACAGCACGGUUAUCUAGGUAAAAUGUAUAUAAGCUGUGUUUAGUAGUGAAUAAACGCCAUUUGCCUCACUUACUCCUGGGGUCUGGGUGAGCAUCUGGCCCCGACCUGGUAAAGGGUCGGUUUCGCCCAGCAGUAAGCCCUACAUGUGGACAGAGGACGAACACCGGACGAGCGAACGGAGACUACAUGCAACAGCUGAGAGCAGCCUUUCAGUAUCUAAAGGGCGUCUAUUAGAAAGAAGGGAACAGACUCUUCAGCAGGGUCUGCUGUGAUAGAAAAAGGGGAAUUGGUCUCAAACUAAAAGAAGGGAGAUUUAGACUGGAUAUAAGAAAGAAGUUUUUGUAAUAAGGGUAGUGAGGCACUGGAGCAGAUUGCCCAGAGAGGUUGUGGAUGCCUCGUCCCUGGAGACACUCAGUGUCAGGCUGGAUGGGGCUCUGAGCAACCUGAUGUAGCUGCACGUGUCCCUAUUCAUCACAGGGGGGUUGGACUAGAUCAUAGAAUCAUAGAACCAUAGAACCAUAGAAUCACAGAAUCACAGAAUGGCCGGGGUUGAAAAGGACCUCAAAGAUCAUCCACUUUCAACCCCCCUGCCAUGGACAGGGCCGCCAACCACUAGAGCAAGCUCUGUCCAGAGCCACAUCCAGCCUUGCCUUGAAUGCCUCCAGGAAUGGAGUAUCCACAACCUCGCUGGGCAACCUGUUCCAGUGCAUCACCACCCUCUGAGUGAAAAAUAAAAAUAGAUGACCUCUCAGGGUCCCUUCCAACUCAG
rnacentral:lncRNA from 1 species